rnacentral:lncRNA from 1 species
ACCUGUGUCUUGUGAAUGACAGAGAGAGACCUGCUAUGGCUGAAGGUCUGGUGUCCUGCUCUGAUGUCAAUCUCCUUGCUCUGCAUCUGUUUCAUCCUGAGCAUGUUGGUGAAUAAGAAUAAUUCUGUAUACAGCAACAUUGGCAAGAGGCUCUCCAAGUUACAGAGCCAUCAGAGAUUCCUAAGUGUGGCCUGCAGGAGGGAGGCAGAAGGUCAGUUUGCAGGUAAGAAGCAACGAGACUUCCUUGGCU